CCAGGAGCGCACACGCUGGUACCCGAAAGAUGGUGAACUAUGCCUGGCCAGGACGAAGCCAGGGGAAACCCUGGUGGAGGUCCGAAGCGAUUCUGACGUGCAAAUCGAUCGUCUGAGCUGGGUAUAGGGGCGAAAGACCAAUCGAACCAUCUAGUAGCUGGUUCCCUCCGAAGUUUCCCUCAGGAUAGCUGGCUCUCGGGAAGAGACGAGUCUCAUCCGGUAGAGCGAAUGAUUAGAGGUGAUGGGGUCGAAACGACUUCAACCUAUUCUCAAACUCCCAAUAGAUGAGAGCCCCGGCUUGCUUGAAAGUGAAGCCGCGGGACUCGGAUCAGAGUGCCAAGUGGGCCAAUUUUGGUAAGCAGAACUGGCGCUGUGGGAUGAACCAAACGCAGAGUUAAGGCGCCCGAUUCGACGCUCAUCUGAAACCAUGAAAGGCGUUGGUUG
rnacentral:rRNA from 1 species